GACGAACGCUGGCGGCGUGCUUAACACAUGCAAGUCGAACGGAAAGGCCCUGCUUUUGUGGGGUGCUCGAGUGGCGAACGGGUGAGUAACACGUGAGUAACCUGCCCUUGACUUUGGGAUAACUUCAGGAAACUGGGGCUAAUACCGGAUAGGAGCUCCUGCUGCAUGGUGGGGGUUGGAAAGUUUCGGCGGUUGGGGAUGGACUCGCGGCUUAUCAGCUUGUUGGUGGGGUAGUGGCUUACCAAGGCUUUGACGGGUAGCCGGCCUGAGAGGGUGACCGGCCACAUUGGGACUGAGAUACGGCCCAGAGUCCUACGGGAGGCAGCAGUGGGGAAUAUUGCACAAUGGGCGGAAGCCUUAUGCAGCAACGCCGCGUGCGGGAUGACGGCCUUCGGGUUGUAAACCGCUUUCGCCUGUGACGAAGCGUGAGUGACGGUAAUGGGUAAAGAAGCACCGGCUAACUACGUG
rnacentral:rRNA from 1 species